rnacentral:sRNA from 1 species
UUUAUAUUUAUAAUGUCUUAUGUUGUAAACGCUUAAACCAUCUAAAAUCGUUUAGACUAUGAUUAAACGUUUUAGGCGCUAAAUCACCGUCCUGCUUACCAUCUAACGCUUUUUUAAACUGAACCUAAAAUAAGUUUCUGAACUUAAUAAAAUUUUCACCGAUUUAUAAAUUUGAAACGAUGCCGGUUCAACUAUAUAGAUUUUUGCUGCUUGAAGGCUAGAAAUCCCCAUAUGUUUAUUAUCAAAUCCAAUUUAAUUCAUGUGGUUGUAUAAAUAUUUUU